rnacentral:rRNA from 1 species
UACGUAGGGCGCGAGCGUUGUCCGGAUUUAUUGGGCGUAAAGGGCUUGUAGGCGGCUUGUCGCGUCGGAUGUGAAAACCCGUGGCUCAACUGCGGGCCUGCAUUCGAUACGGGCUGGCUAGAGUACGGCAGGGGAGACUGGAAUUCCUGGUGUAGCGGUGGAAUGCGCAGAUAUCAGGAGGAACACCUGUGGCGAAAGCGGCGCACUGGACCACAACUGACGCUGAGGCGCGAAAGCUAGGGGAGCAAACAGG